rnacentral:rRNA from 1 species
CCUACGGGCGGCAGCAGUGAGGAAUAUUGGUCAAUGGGCGCGAGCCUGAACCAUCCAAUUAUCUUUCCUGAUGACUGCCCUACGGGUUGUAAACUUCUUUUAUAAAGGAAUAAAGUGAGGCACGUGUGCCUUUUUGUAUGUACUUUAUGAAUAAGGAUCGGCUAACUCCGUGCCAGCAGCCGCGGUAAUACGGAGGAUCCGAGCGUUAUCCGGAUUUAUUGGGUUUAAAGGGAGCGUAGAUGGGUUGUUAAGUCAGUUGUGAAAGUUUGCGGCUCAACCGUAAAAUUGCAAUUGAUACUGGCAGCCUUGAGUACAGUUGAGGUAGGCGGAAUUCGUGGUGUAGCGGUGAAAUGCUUAGAUAUCACGAAGAACUCCGAUUGCGAAGGCAGCCUACUAAACUGCCACUGACAUUGAUGCUCGAAAGUGUGGGUAUCAAACAGGAUUAGAUACCCGAGUAGUC